rnacentral:rRNA from 1 species
CACGGGGGGAGCAAGCGUUGUUCGGAAUUACUGGGCGUAAAGGGCGCGUAGGCGGCUCGCUAAGUCGGAUGUGAAAACUCUGGGCUCAACCCAGAGCCUGCAUUCGAAACUGACGAGCUGGAGUUCUGGAGGGGAAAGCGGAAUUCCUGGUGUAGCGGUGAAAUGCGUAGAUAUCAGGAGGAACACCGGUGGCGAAGGCGGCUUUCUGGACAGAAACUGACGCUGAUGCGCGAAAGCUAGGGGAGCAAACAGG